CCUACGGGAGGCUGCAGUGGGGAAUAUUGCGCAAUGGGCGAAAGCCUGACGCAGCGACGCCGCGUGAGGGAUGAAGGUCUUCGGAUCGUAAACCUCUGUUAGCAGGGAAGAACGGUCACUGUGCUAAUCAUCAGUGAAUUGACGGUACCUGCAAAGGAAGCACCGGCUAACUCCGUGCCAGCAGCCGCGGUAAUACGGAGGGUGCGAGCGUUAAUCGGAAUUACUGGGCGGAAAGCGCUCGUAGGCGGUAUGUGAAGUCAAGGGUGAAAUCCCGGGGCUCAACUCCGGCACUGCCUCUGAUACUGGCGGGCUAGAGUUUAGUUGCGGUAGGCGGAAUGUAUGGUGUAGCGGUGAAAUGCAUAGAGAUCAUACAGAACACCGAUUGCGAAGGCAGCUUACCAAAGUACGACUGACGUUGAGGCACGAAAGCGUGGGGAGCAAACAGGAUUAGAUACCCGAGUAGUC
rnacentral:rRNA from 1 species